UACGAAGGGGGCUAGCGUUGCUCGGAAUCACUGGGCGUAAAGCGCACGUAGGCGGAUUGCUAAGUCAGGGGUGAAAUCCUGGAGCUCAACUCCAGAACUGCCUUUGAUACUGGCGAUCUCGAGUCCGGGAGAGGUGAGUGGAACUGCGAGUGUAGAGGUGAAAUUCGUAGAUAUUCGCAAGAACACCAGUGGCGAAGGCGGCUCACUGGCCCGGUACUGACGCUGAGGUGCGAAAGCGUGGGGAGCGAACGGG
rnacentral:rRNA from 1 species